rnacentral:lncRNA from 12 species
GGCAUCCUUGGGCCAGAGUUUACUUUGAUACCACGCAGGCCUAUGUUAAGAAGAAUAAAAAGCUUCUGUAAAAUAGGAAAACAACAAUUUCGAAGGAAACAAGAGGAUUUGGCAAAAACCUGUGAUCCGAAGCACAAUGCCCUGGCCUUGUCUCACAGGCCACUUCUGGGAGGUGACAGCUGACGGGCGGGACCUGGGAGCCCAUAGUGCCUGAUGGAGCGUGGAUGCCUCGCGCCUGGGCUACAUGUAAAGCUUCCGGGGUCGGUGAGCACCAGGUGCUGCAGGGCUGCUGCGGGUGUGAGGUUCUGCGGGCGUCUGUGGUCCAUCCUG